rnacentral:tRNA from 1 species
GCUCUAGUAGCUUAUUUCAUUCAAAGCAUGGCACUGAAGAUGCCAAGAUGGUAACUACACUACCCAAGAGC